CUUAAGCGCCAAACUCUUUUCUUUUAAUCUCCUCUCUCACAUUCUCAGUUCUCACGUUUUCUCAAAAAACCCUAAAUCAUCUACCGCCGCUUACCACUCUCCACCAUCACAUUCUUCUAUAUGAAACAAUUCUACAUGAUUCGAUCGAAACUGAAUUAAAGGUAUCACUUGAAGCUUUCACAAAGCCUAAUUCUCAGCGAGUCGAUUCUCAUGUAUCUAUGAUUCAGAUUCAGAUCCCAUCUAUCUCUGAUUCCUUUCAAAAACUCUACAUCUAUACCAGCCGAUUCUCAUCAAAGCGAUUAUCAUAAACCCUAAAUAAACCCUCAAUUGGAACCAGUCGAAUGCUAAUCCAUAAUGAUGAACGAAAAUGGCCAGAAUAUGGACCCGGGUUCGUGCGUGUUGGUGGGUUUGUACUGUGGAGAUGGUGGUGAUAAGAAAGCUUAAUCAGAUAAUGCUUGCUUAUAGAUAUUAUGAACUUGAACCAUAAACGAUAAAAGAAGACAUAUUGGAUGUUGUUAGCUGGAACGGUAAUAUUUACUCCGCAGUUAGUAUUUGGUGCAAACGCAUGCCGAAGGUUUUAUAUGAUACAAUUUGUACAUUGACAGAACUCAGGUAUUUUGUUUUUCAUGGUAACUUUUAUGCUGAUGGGGCUGAAGCAUACCAAAUGGAAUUUUGGAUCAGACAUAUUGAUGGAUCACGUUUCAAAUCAGAUGCAGAGAGACAGAAAGUGAUACAAUUUUCUUGAAGUAGCGAUAUAGAGAAGAGUUUCCGCGGAGCUAAAGAUAUAGAUACACACGAAAGACAGAGUUGGGUUAUUAUCUGACGCUAUGCACUUAAUAGCAUGCUAUAACGAUGUUAAUUCUUACAAGGCAAGUAACUUCAGACAUCACGUGCAUGUUAAUUCUUACUGUUUUUAAAAGUUAUAUGAUUUUCAGCCUUUCAUGGAUGUUUAAACAGGUCACAUAGUUGAUCUAAAUAAACACUACAAAUCCAUGUUGUUUGAUUUUCUUAACGGGUCAGACUAUCGCUUGGAUUCUUGGUUAGCUUGCAGGUGACAUUUCAUGGGUCAGGUCGCCACAUGCAUUUGUAACUUCACUUAAUCUUUUAAUCUUUUUAGUUUAAUGUUUUCUUUGUAAAAAGCUCAAAUUCAAAACCGUUAGGGUAGUGUAUGAAGCCAACUGGGAGCUAGGGGAGUGUUUGUUAAUUUCUUUUUCCCUUUUAUGUCAAUGUGGUUAACCAUUUUAUAUUACGGAUCUAAAAAGGCGAUGAAGUUGAAUCAGAAACGAUGGCGUACUUUUAUGAAAUUAGUGAAGACGUGUCAACCAUUGCAGGUUAUGGCGGCGAAGGUUAAUCAGAAACGACGACGUAUUUUGUGAAAUUGGUGAAGAGUUUGUUUCAAACUGAUGGAUGGAUCUGGUUAUCGUCAUGUUUGGCCUGUAGCACUGGCAUUGUCACAAUGGAUAGUGGUUGGUGAAGGAAUAAAGAUAGUGUGCAGGUCAUGAGGGUUGCUUGGCAUGCGGGUUUUACAGCUCAACUUCAACAAAACGGUUCAUCCAAUGCUGGUGAAGUUAGAAUUUCUUCUGGUUGUUGCAUUUUGUAACUACUUGAAAGGAAUCGCAUCUGAUCGGGAUGCAAAUAUACAGUUAAGAGCUUGAAAUGGGCCAGUCAGUACAUAUGGGCACUAUCCUUGCUGGUGAUUUUAUGGUGGCAUUUUGGCUCACCAAAUUGACUACUACUGAUUGUUGCGGGUGCUCAUCGGGACAGAACCAGAAAGUACCAACACCGGAAGAUUAAAAUAUCAAACCGAGAGAACCAAACCUAUCUAAACGAGUUUCGUUUAAGACUGUAACGAUUUGCGUUUUGGAUUCCUAAUUCUUACAAGGAGUGUAAUAGUUUUUUAGCGUUCUAAGGGAAAUGACCACCAUACCUACCUAAUAUAUAUAUAAAUUUUUUUGUUUUGUUACUUAUCUUUACUUUGCUUUCAUAAUUAAAUUGGUGUCGAAUUUUGGGUGCAGGCCAUGGAUACCAAAGACAAGGAGAGCAAAUAAUUAAUUGGACAUAGAGUUUUUGUUAUUGCUGAGAGGCAUGAGUGGAGCUGGUGGUUUGAGUGCGAAAAUCUGGUGGCAGAUGAGUUGUUAGUGGUUGUGGGCGGUGGUGAUUGUUAGCCAUACCAUUGUGGUGAUUAAGGAAUAGAGGGAUGGUUUUCAACAACCGGUGAGCCAUUUGUAGUAAAGGAGGAUGAUUUCCAGUUUCAUUCCAAGAGGAUGAAUGCGAUAGUGGAGUUAAAGAAGACAUCAUGAAAACAUCAUGAAGGUUUAGUUGACAAAAACUUAAUUUGUAACGAACAUUAUGUAAAUGUACUAUUUGGACGUGCUCAACUAUCUCAAAAUAUUAGGUUUAACAAAUCACACUUUAACGCUUCU